ensembl:lncRNA
AUUUGUAUCUGCUCAUGUUGAUUUGUAUCACAAGGAGUUUUCAUUUCAGCGAGUUUGCAAAAUAUCAGCAUCUGCCCGGAGAGAGGCAGUGCAAGGAUUCAGCUCACUGCUGCUGAACGGGCAAACUCCCAGGUGAAAGCCUGUGUUCUCUUCACCAACAUCUCCAUCUUUCACUGCGAUCCGCUCAUUUCAGGUCCAGUCAGGAACUCAGCUGUCCAAGGAGAACAGAGAACUCGUGCUUCCACCUGGACCAGGAGCGUUCCUCCUGUGGCCAGCCUGGCUCCGGUUGGUACACGUGGCUGUUCUGAGGGACACGCAAGACAUGGCGAUGGGCUGUCACUGCCAUGCCAAGGGGAACACAGGCCAAAGAGAAGAAUUGAAAAGCCUGUUUGGCUGAGGCAGCACACUGUUGUGCCAUGCGGGCCGCUACAAAGAGCCCAGGAGAUAUCAGCAGAUUAUUUACGGUGGUCAUUACCUGCAGCUUCCAGCACCUUCUGGCUAUCCAAACUUAGGGAGGAAAUUAGGGAGAUUAAUUCUUUCUUCAGUGAAAAGAUUAAUAACUCUAAUUAAUUGAGGGUAAGAAAACCAGAUUGCAGGGCAGUACUGAAAAAAUAAACUAUAGACCCCUAUACAGGAGCAAAAAAAUAAUGAUAAAGGACCCCGAGCACUUGGGAAUGAGAAGUGUACAGAAGUGGGCCAAAGUCACAAGCAAGCACUGGGGAGCAUAAAGUGGGCAGCAAGCUGAUAAGAAGCUGAUAUGGAGGGAAGAGUUGCACCUGUCUGCAGCAGCUGCAAUGCAUGGGAGGUAAAUGGGAGUGCCUUUCAGCAUGCCUGUAGGAGCAGAGGAGCAGCUCAGCCCCAGGCAUUGCCACCUGUCAGCAUCAGACCACCAGAGCUGGGUACAGCCAGAGGGCUUGCACAGAAAUGCAGAGAGAACAGAGAGAAGCAGCUCUUAAAUCAGUACAAAUAAGGUCCCUCCAUCCUCCUCUCUCCCCUGCUCCUGAAAUGAUAGAGCAUUUCCUCAUUCCAGGUAACAGUGAUAAGAAGAGGGGAUGGCCUUAUGUUGCACCAGGGAAGGUUCGGGUUGGAUAAAUAGGAAAAAUUUCUUCUCAGAAAGAGUGGUGCUGCAUUGGCACAGAGUGCCUGGGGGGGUGCAGUCACCGUCCCUGGAGGUGUCCAACAACUGUGGAGAUGUGGC